rnacentral:rRNA from 1 species
GAUGAACGCUGGCGGCGUGCCUAAUACAUGCAAGUCGAGCGAAGCGGGGACGGGUGAGUAACACGUGGGUAACCUCCUAUAAGACUGGGAUAACCUAGGGAAACCGGAGCUAAACCGGAAACUUAUAGAUGGUUCUGCGCUGCAUUAGCUAGUUGGUCAGGUAACGGCUUACCAAGGCAACGAUGCAUAGCCGACCUGAGAGGGUGAUCGGCCACACUGGAACUGAGACACGGUCCAGACUCCUACGGGAGGCAGCAGUGGGGAAUAUUGCGCAAUGGGCGAAAGCCUGACGGAGCAACGCCGCGUGAGUGAUGAAGGUCUUCGGAUCGUAAAGCUCUGUUAUUAGGGAAGCGGUACCUACACAGAAAGCCCCGGCUAACUACGUGCCAGCAGCCGCGGUAAUUC